AAUCAAACAGGCGAUGAAGUCCGCCGUAACCGCCCUGCCAGCUAUGACGCGGGGCUGAUGACUUCUGUCCAUUU
rnacentral:ncRNA from 2 species